rnacentral:rRNA from 1 species
UACGUAGGGGGCUAGCGUUGUCCGGAAUCAUUGGGCGUAAAGAGCGUGUAGGCGGCCCGGUAAGUCCGCUGUGAAAGUCGGGGGCUCAACCCUCGAAUGCCGGUGGAUACUGUCGGGCUAGAGUGCGGAAGAGGCGAGUGGAAUUCCUGGUGUAGCGGUGAAAUGCGGCAGAUAUCAGGAGGAACACCAAUUGCGAAGGCAGCUCGCUGGGACGUAACUGACGCUGAGACGCGAAAGCGUGGGGAGCAAACAGG